UACAAUGACUCUCGGCAACGGAUAUCUCGGCUCUUGCAUCGAUGAAGAGCGUAGCGAAAUGCGAUACUUGGUGUGAAUUGCAGAAUCCCGUGAACCAUCGAGUCUUUGAACGCAAGUUGCGCCCGAAGCCAUUAGGCCGAGGGCACGUCUGCCUGGGUGUCACA
rnacentral:rRNA from 1 species